rnacentral:rRNA from 1 species
UACGGGGGGGGCAAGCGUUGUUCGGAAUUACUGGGCGUAAAGGGCCAGUAGGCGGCCAACUAAGUCGGAUGUGAAAUCCCCAGGCUUAACCUGGGAACUGCAUCCGAUACUGGAUGGCUUGAAUUCGGGAGAGGGAUGCAGAAUUCCAGGUGUAGCGGUGAAAUGCGUAGAUAUCUGGAGGAACACCGGUGGCGAAGGCGGAUCUCUGGGCCUUACCUGACGCUCAGGUGCGAAAGCUAGGGGAGCGAACAGG